GAACACCUAAUGUCAACACUGCCUGGCUGGUGCUCAUCUCCUGUCCAUCACUGAAGCUUCUCCAUAGAAGAAACCUUUCCACAGGUCUGUAGACCUGAAGCCUGUUCUGUGUUUAGCCUCAGAGAAAAGGAUAAGGUGAGAAGUUGGGAGAAGAUUUCACCAUACAUAUUUUUAAAAAUAACAACAACAACAA